rnacentral:lncRNA from 1 species
AUAGUAAAAAAUAGAUGCAAAAGAUAAAAAAAUAUAAAAAGAAUAAAUAAUUAAAAUGAUAGAAAAAAUAUUUUUUUCUCAAAAAAAAAGUGAAGAACUAAAGAAAAAAAUUAAUGAAAUUGUAUUGCACUGUUUCAUAAGAACGUUAUAUUGUUUUAUACAAAAAUUAUACUUUUUGAGACAAAAAUUAUACUAUUUCAUACGAAAGUUGUAUUUUUUGAAUGAAAGUUGAAUUUUUUGGAUAAAAGUUACAUUAUUUUUUCUCCUCUUUUUUUCCUCCUCCACCAAAGCAGGUCUGCCUUCCCCAUCAUUGACGAAGUUACACUAUUUCUCCUCUUCCUCCUUCCCUUCUACCUCA